AAAUAUAUCCUGAAGAUUACUCCAUAUCAGUACAUAGAAAGCAUUUAUUAAACCACAUGGAAUGUCCUUGUUGAUAGACCCUCAGGAUGUUAUUUAACUCUUACCGUCACACGCUAUGCUGUGGGGAGCACCUCUGGUCUGUGUGUCCUUCUGUGCAUGCACAAGUGUAUCUGUAGGAUACAUUUCCAGAAGUGCGACCUCAUAGAUUCUUGAUCAAAUACCUCUGUUUGAACACUUAUCAAUGAGUGGCCUGUAUUUUAGUUAAUGCUGUCUGUCUCCUCAUUAUUUUAUGAGCUUCUAGAAGGCUGAAUUGUAUCUCAUUCAUCUUUGCAUCCACAGCCCCUACCAUAGUACCUAGCAUGUUAAUGCUGAAUACAAAAUAAACUUCCUAGUGUAACUAUAACCUUGAGAACAUGAAAGUAACCCCUCGAUUUAAAAGGCUGAGAUCUAGGGUAUAGAUCAAGAGGCACUUCUAAGUUUCUAUUUAAGGAUGAAAAUAGGACUUAUAAAAUGCCAGGCCAAAUGAAAAUAUUGAAUAGGGAGUGCAGGUUUCAAGGAUGAGGAUGUCUCUUCAAAUCCAGGAACUAGGACAAUGUCAUGUGUAUUUUCUAGGUUAUUCACAUGCAGAGAAGCUGAAUGGUAAAAUGGGGAGGAAGCCUGGAGGACUCCUGCCUGGUGAAGAUUAGCCAGGAAUGUCCGAGAAUAGUACCACCCUAGCAGCGCAGCCAAGACAGGGCGUCAAGGCAAAUGCACCCCCAGAUUCGAAUCUGAGCAGAGAAGGAGACUGUACACGUGUGUGUGUGUGUGUGUGUGUGUGUGUGUGUGUGUGUGUGUGAAUGUGUAUGUGUAACCUGGCUCUAAUUUACCGUCUUCUCCAUUUUUAUGACCGUCAUGUGAAUGGCUCCCAGUUCUGCUCUACAGCCCCCACACCGGUCAGGAAGGCUGCUAGCUAGGUGUGGUGAAAACUCAGACCAUUCCUAAACCGAGGGCAGCCAUGCUUCCCAGCUCUUCCUCUGGGCAUCCCAGCGCUGUCCCCUGCCCAGCCUUCACUGCUGGCCCAGCACAGAAGUCACAGGAGUGCUCUCUCUCCACUAGGUCAUCACGAACCAUCCCAGCUGCUGGUCAACUCUGUUUAGUCAAGUCGGAAGAGAUGGAAUGGCAAGCAGGGAAGAAAGUGAAUCAAUGAUUCACCCAAUGGACAAAGAAACAUCACAGCGACUAUUUGGAAAAGUCAAAUGCGGGAAAGGAACAUUCUCAUCUAAAGGUGUGCUCUGACUUUAGAAAGGAAAACGUCCCACAAGAAAAUCAGGAAUUUUGUUGAAGUGCUCUGGUUGAACCUGCAGAAAGCAAUGGCAUGUUCCCUCUCUCCCUGCUUCUUCUGUUUUAUUGCUUUUGUGUUGUACUUCUAAAAUAAAUAUCAAUAAAUCAUUGCAGUUAGAUACUCUAAUAUAGACAGAAAUGUACUUGACUCCCUACAGUCAUUACAAUUGGAGGGGACUCUGAUUAGGAUGCUUUACUUAAUUAAGUGAUAUCGUCUAAAGAGAGUUCUUCCCUCCAUUUUCUGUUUAACAGUCUUAUAAAACACCAACAGAGGAAAUUCAUUCUGUUGUUUGCUUUCCUUAUUGUAAAUGGUUUAUUCUCAUUCAUAGUUUACAGAAGAUGGUGUGUUAAUGAAAUGCCUAAUAAGCCAAAGACUGGUUCAGCGACACACAGAGCCUUGUUCAAAUCAGCCCAAGCUAUCCCAGACUUGAGAGCGUUUUCUCCCUCAGUCCCAGGAAUAUAUUUUAAAAUAUUGUUUUACAACAUCUGUAACCUAAAAUUAAGAUGAUCCAAAGACAAAAAAAAAUUUUUGUGUGAGGAAAUCGUGCUGCAUCUGGUUUAGAUAUGGUUCAGCAGAGACCCUAAAAAUCUGGUUCUUUGAAAAAAUAGAAAAAAUGGGCAAA
ensembl:lncRNA